UACGGAGGGUGCAAGCGUUAUCCGGAUUCACUGGGUUUAAAGGGUGCGUAGGUGGGCAGUUAAGUCAGUGGUGAAAUCUCCGGGCUUAACCCGGAAACUGCCAUUGAUACUAUCUGUCUUGAAUACCGUGGAGGUGAGCGGAAUAUGUCUGUAGCGGUGAAAUGCUUAGAUAAUGACAUAGAACACCAAUUGCGAAGGCAGCUCACUAAC
rnacentral:rRNA from 1 species